rnacentral:rRNA from 1 species
AGUGAACGCUGGCGGUAGGCCUAACACAUGCAAGUCGAACGGCAGCACAGUAAGAGCUUGCUCUUACGGGUGGCGAGUGGCGGACGGGUGAGGAAUACAUCGGAAUCUACUUUUUCGUGGGGGAUAACGUAGGGAAACUUACGCUAAUACCGCAUACGACCUACGGGUGAAAGCAGGGGAUCUUCGGACCUUGCGCGAUUGAAUGAGCCGAUGUCGGAUUAGCUAGUUGGCGGGGUAAAGGCCCACCAAGGCGACGCUCCGUAGCUGGGCUGAGAGGAGGAUCAGCCACACUGGAACUGAGACACGGUCCAGACUCCUACGGGAGGCAGCGGUGGGGAAUAUUGGACGAUGGGCGCAAGCCUGAUCCAGGCAUACCGGGUGGGUGAAGAAGGCCUUCGGGUUGGAAAACCCUUUUGUUGGGGAAGACAAGCAGCAGGUUAAUACCCCGCUGUUCUGACGGUACCCAAAGAAUAAGCACCGGCUAACUUCGUG